CACACACACACACAUUUGAAGGCCAGUUAUUCCUGGUGUAGGAUUUUACCGCUUUGAAGGUUCUGCAGCAGACAUUUGCUUUUGAAAACCCUUUCUUGAUGCUCAGUAAGAGCAGCAGUUCUGGCUGAAUAUUCCUCCCAGAAGCUUUCUCUUUGUUCUCCAGUGCUCAUCUCUGACUACAUAAAACCUGCUUGUAUUUUGUUCUGUCAUCUUCCAACAAAGUCUAGACAAAGCCAGUUGCUUCUGCCCCAACAGGAAAAUCUACUGCUGUUCCAGCAGCUGUGUGAGGGGCUGAGUCAGGAUUUCAGACACAAAGUUGCAUAGAAAGAAACUGAAAUACCUUCAAUCAAAAAAAAAUAGUGUGAAUUAAGCUUUACUCAGUUAAUGACUGGGAAAACAUCUUUCUUGAGUGCAUUGAGGAUGAGUAUGUUUUUGAAAAUAAGACUAUAUCUUAAGUAAUUCUGCUGGUUUCAUUUAAUUAGAGCUACCUCUGAUUUCCUUUGCAAGGUGGGCCAUUUAUUGAUUCCUUUGGGGCUGGUGUUUUACAAUUAGGACAGUAUUAAACCACAAUUUGUGUUAUUUCAGGUAUAAUUAAAAGACGUUUUUUCUCAACACAAUUUGAAAACAAAUGGGAAAUAAAAUUUGAUAUUUUGAUAUUUCGCCAGUUACAUGCAACAUGAAUAUCAGCAUAAAUUAGCCUAAUUGAGUCAGCUUAUAAUUAAGUUUCUGGACAGUGAAGCUUUUCCCUUCUGUACCAAUCUCUCCCUGCAAGCCAUGAUUUGAAAAGGAGAUUCAGAUUUUCUAGUUAGAAUAGGCAAGAAUAUAUUGUGUUAAUAAUACAUGUCUUUAGAUCUGUAGCUCACAUGGAGUUUGCAUUACUUCAAACUGAACUUGUUUCAAUUUUCUGACUUUAUUACUUUAAAAUAAUGGUCUUAUUAUUUUAUACUUUGUGUCUUUAAAUAUUUUUAUGGGGAAUUUUUCUGGCUUAAAAUGUUCCUAGUCUGUUCAGCUUAAUUUGAUUGUAAGUUGGUGUUUUUGUUGUGUGUUUGGUUUUCUGUAAUAUCACUUUUGCAACAUCUUAAAUUACUUUUUGAAAGUAAAAAACAAAACCCCUGUCAGCUUGUCACGCUGCCACAAGAUGUCAUGAGAAGCCGUGUCUUGCCUUCAAGAUGAGCGUGCUCGGCGAGCCCUUGCGAUCAGCUAAGAAGUGGAGUGGUUGUUCUGGAACGACGUGUUCCGAAAGCACCUCAUUUCACCAUACAGCUAAUGCAGUGCCUCAAUUUCUUGAGGAAACUCCUUCAUAUUAGGGUUCUGCUUGAAACAAAAGUGAUGAGCGACUGAUUAAACUACCCUGAAGCAGCAGAGGUGGAAGUGCCUUGAGGUUGCUGAGGUGCAGCAUGCCUGUUAACACUAAGCACUGUAGAACCGAAAGGUUCUGUAUGUAGUAACCACGAUUGCGUGUGCUGGCAAACGACUGGUUUGUGGUUUGCUUUUUGUAGAUUUUUUUUUUUUUCCCCCCUCCGAGUUUACUCCAGUAAGAGGAGGAAUGUGUUUCCAGGAACUGGAAAGGACUUUAUUCCCGUUAAAUCCAGGAAUGUACCAAAGUCUCUGCCCUUUUGUUUCUGCUUUUAAAUUCCCAGCUGAAUUUCCUCUGUGAAAUCUGCGUAUUAGCUUGAAAUAGCCUUCAGGCAGCAAAUUUGCAAUGCUCCGUACUGCACAACUGUAAGGAGAAGGUGUUUGGUGUUGUCUAAGCUUGCCAGAGGAAAACUCGGCAGAGAGUUUUUAAGCUACUCAGAUCUUGCGCACAUACCUUGAGUCGUGGUGGACUGUUUGAUGAAUUGUUUGUUCUAGAGUGGAGUCCUGUCAGGAACUUAGUUUUACCUCCCAUUGAUUUCAGUGAGAUCUGUGUGCAUAGUGCUAAAGUACUGAAUGUGCUUUAAUGAACUCUAUCUAACCUAAUUCUCCAUGAACGAAAUACGAAACAUGCUAACAUGCCAGGGGAAUUCUUGAAAGGUUACGUCAGAGCAAUAUUGACUCCUGAGUUGUAUCUCAAAGUGAGGGAAGCUGAGCAAAACUGCAUCACAAAAAGUAACCACAGCUUUUUGGUAGGAGAGAUUCAAAAUCCCUCGGGGCAAGUGUCCAAAAUCAGUUGCAGGACAGUAUUUUUCUUAGAAUCCAAGGCCAUGAGGGCCAACAAACGUUACUUGGUCUACAGAGUUUGACAGAGAAAGACCUUGCUUCAAAAGAGUGCAGAAAGCUGGCAGGAUGUGAAAAAUUAGGGAAAAUUCCAGGUGAUUUGUGCUAAUCCAGUAAUUUGGAUACUAGACACAAAAUGCUCACCCAGGCAAAGUUAAUAAAACAUUCAAAGAGGCCCAGUAGCCCAAAUAAAUACAUGGUGUCCAUCAACAGUCCCCGGAUGCAGUGUUGAUUCUGUGUUUGAUCAUGUAUUUUCCCCUAAAGAUAUUUAAUUGAACUAAAACUGGCAUGAGACUGAGUUUGUUAUGAUUGGUUCAUUCCCUAUUAGAAAACAAAGUCACUUUGAUGUACGUGAGCAAGCGGUGCUGUUUCUCAUCGUGCUCUGUGAAUUGUCUUCCCGGCUGAGCAGAGUACUUCACAGGCUGGCCUACCCCGUGAGCGGUGCACGCCUCGGCAGGCACGGCACAUUCAUCAUUGUCAAUAUGGAGAUGAAUAGAACUAACAAGUAAAUAACUUUCAUCUCUUUCUAGGAAAGAAUGAGCCAGGGCUCCAACUUCAGACAGAUCUGAAGGUAAUUAACUAUUUCCAGACCCAGAACUGUCCUGAGAAGAGAGCAAACAUAUACAAAGCUGUAUGCUUGAAGUACCAAAGCUUUAAGGUGCGCAGGAUUGUGAUGGACUCUCAGACCCUGGAGUUUGCUGGGCAGCACUGGAGGCAGCAUAUUUUCACUGGAUAUUGCAGCAGGGCGUGUCUAUCCCACCCAUUGAGGGACGAUCAGUGUUGUAUCUGGUAAAGGCUUCAGAGCAUACGACAGCCGUACUGUGACUGCCUUCUGCGUAGAGGGUCAGGGUGCUUUUCCCUGCAUGCGUGGCACUGUGACAAAGCUCACGAUUUUCCCUUUUUAAUGGUUAUGGCAGAGAGUUUCCUUACAGGUGUUGAGUCUAGAAGAUUUUAAUAUAUUCUCUGGGUAUACAGAUACAACCACACUGAGUUUAGUCUGGGUUGAAGUUAAUGUGAGGGUACUGAAAACUUUACUUCAGUUUUUGGUAUUUUAGCUUUUAAUAAAUUUGAAGUGAAUAUUUUAGUGCACAUAAAAUGCAGAAUUGCCUCUUAAUAAUAACUUUUUCACUGUUAGCCAGAAGUUUAUACUGGGCUAUGCAAUUUAACUAUGAAGUCCUCUCUUAACUGCAUAUCGUUUCAAUCCUAGGAAAUUAGCUUCUUCAUGAUUUCCAAAAUACACAGAUACUGGGACAAAGUCCAGUGUAAGUAUAGUGUAACAGUUUUUUUUUAACAGCAAGUUUUAAUUUCUUUUAUUUUUUCAGUUCUUCUAAUUUAGAAAAUGUGUAAUACAAACUCAUUUUGUGUUAAGAACCUUUUAAAAUAAUUCAUUAUUUCUAAACAUUUUUUAUUUCUGAAUAUGUUGUUGCCAUGAGUGCUGUCAGUGACAGUGUAACGUACAGUAGAUAUGCGAGAGGCUGAAACCACAAAAGAAUAGUGGUGACAAAAGCUAGAAAUAAAGCAUCAUUUUCUAUUGAGCCUUCCUUUUAAAUGGAGGAAAGGUAUUCCACAUUUAUAAGGAUUAUAUUGUUGCUUUUCAGAUGUGAUUCAAAGAUACAUAUCGAAAGAGGGACAGUAUAAAACAUCGUUGUGUCAUUAGGAAUUCUAGUUCCAUUCGAAUAGGAAAUGUUCUAUUUAUGAUCCUUAAAGAAAGCCUUCAGGUCAUGAACAGCAUUUCCAUUUGUGGAGAAAAAUGUAAGAAUAGUUUUCUGAAAGUCUGUAUAAAAUGAACAUUGCCUUUUGAACCCUUUAUUCAUUCAAUUUCUGGGCACAUUUAAAAAAAUCAUUGAAGAAUUAAUAGAAGCUAUGUGAAAAAUAACAAAAAAAAGGUCAGUGAAAUUCCAAUGUUUUUUGCAGUAUUCACAGUUUAGUUUUUGAGUGAAGUAACUCUUGAUUUCAUUAGGCCUGAACUCAUUAGUUGAAUAUACCACAAGGAGCGCCUGCUUUUCCUUUCAUUUACUCCAGGGUGGAUGAAGGGGGAAUUCACAGACCUCGGUGGCUUUACUGUGCACAGACCUAGGAAGAGAACGGGUGAACAGAGUAUCUGCUGUCGUAUGCGAGAGAGAUUUUUUUAAGAGAAAAGGGUCUCAGUUUCUGGUUUUGAGUGCAUUAUAAACCUGGACAUUAGCAUAUCUCUGCUAAGUGUGUUGAACAUUAGAACUUCUAAACCUUUACGUAUGUGAGGUUGUUAUUUUUAGGCAUACAUGUCCUAUGAACAGGGACAUGAAAAUAUCAGUGAAAAGCAAGCUUUUUGCAUCUGCUACUGUAUUUACAGUUUCACAAUCUGAGAAUGUUGCACAUCUGCAGUGGUGGAAAAGGGACCAUGCUGAUGAGUGACGAUGAUGCAACGUAUUUAGACACAUGGAUAAGAUCCCCGUGAGCCGACACAUGGAUAAGAUCCCCGUGAGCCUUCACUUCUCCAGGGUGAACAGUCCCAGCUCUCUCAGCCUCUCCUUGUAUGACAGAUGCUCCUGUCCCUCCAUCAUCUUUAUGGCUCUUCACUGAACUCGCUCCAGUGUGUCCUUCUCUCUGGUAUUGGGAAGCCCAGUGCUGGACCCAGCACUCCCGAUGUGGCCUCACCAGGGAGUUUGUUUGGUUUACUGUUAAGAAUCCCUCCCUUGCAAGGAAAAUGUUGCUGAGAGCUAUAGCAGCAGAGAAACAACUGGCACCCUGAAGUCCUAGAAAUAACUCCAAAUCAAUACCUUGUAACUGGGAGCAGAAGUGGAUUUUCAGCUUCUGACUCACGGCUGAACUCGCAGAGCUGGUCAGUUCGGCAGAAGGUAGUAAUCCCUGCACUGAUCACCCACCUGUGUUUACACAGCAAUUACUAAUAUUUUGCUUAAUCUUGUGUACAGAGUGCAGGGGCCAGUGAGACAGCAGAGCUGUGUUCUCUGUUGCCAUUAUCUUACAUAAUUCCCAAUCUUUAAACCUAUUUUUUUCAGUUAUUAGCUUUUAAUGAAAGAUAUGUUACUGGCCUCUCUCGUCACAUCUGGAGUUCUGAACUAACAAGAUAAAUUAUCAGGCUAAGCAUCUUCUGUGUGUUAAUAGGUAAUUUUUUUGGGAGCAUCUCCCUCAUUUUACUCUUGUAUCAUCAGGCUAGGUUUGCCAACAAAUUGCAGCUGUUUAGAAACACUUCAGGGAUGUUGAUUCUGCAGCUGCUGCAUGUGGACAACUCCCUUUGCCCUCAGAGUCUUGACAGUCUCUCUUGAUCUGGAGAAGCCUUUUCACUGAUUCACUGGAUCUCUUGCUCUCUUCCCUCACUGGACUGCAAACGGAUUUGCCUGAGGCUGAAAACUGUAUUUGCACUUCACCUUGGCCUCAUAGGCUACUUAAGCAACCCUCAACUUGCUUUAUAGUGAAAGUCUGAAAACGUGGUAUUUGCAAAGUUAGCUUUAGCCAAGUGAAGCCAAACUUCUGAGGCUUCUUAUUUUGCCAAUAAAAACAGACUCCCCUCAACAGAGUCCAUGACUGAUGUGUAAUUCAGUUCACUGUUCUGUUGUUGCUCAUAGUUAAGCAUCUCCCCAAAAAGUCCAGGGAAUCCAGCCAAGUGGAGGACUUUAGUGUAAUGUUUCUUUUUUCUUUGCAAGCCUGUUUCUCUGUGGCAGUCUCACAGAGUGUUUAAGAAAUUGAUCCUUGGUGAGAGGGUUAAGGUAAAUGUGCCCUACGCCUGUUGGAGACUCUUGUCUUUGAGACAGAUUCAUGCAUGAGCUUCACCUGGAAGUUGCUGCUACUAAAAACAUCCUUUUCACAAUUGUAAGGCUAUCAGUACAGAGCAGUUCUGUUGUGGGACAUCUGUUGUAGCAAACUCGGUGGAGGAACUAUGAAGCCAAUUCCAGAUACUGCUUUUCUGCCCACUUUUCUUUUUCUUGUGCUUCCCAGUUGACUUUACCAAUAUUUACUUGUAACAAGUCGUAAAAUCACAGGAGUUUGCAACAGCACAGAUAAAACAGCAUAGGUUGCAACUCCUCAUUGAUAUAUCCAAGUCUCUUAGGUGAUAGGAUUUUUGCUGUUCAAAAAUUCUUACCUGCAGGUCUUCAUAUAUUUUAAACACAUUCAGGAAUAAAGUCAGGAGUGAAAAGGCUUUGCUCCCAGGCAUUAGGCUAGGUUAAAUAAUCAGACUGAUAUUCACAAAGUCAUGCAAUACAUUUGAAAUUCACUCUUCUUGCAGGCUGCAGAGACUCGGGGCAUAUCUCCACUUACUUUCUUCUAUAUCCUAUUUUAAGCACUGAAAGAGGAAAUGAAAUGCUGGACCAACCCAACAUGGAAGGUGAAUUUUGGACACUUACAGGAAACAGCCAAGUGGAAACCACUCAAAGGAGCCACUGAGUGAGACCAACCAAAAGAAAACUCUUUCAGUUUCUGGUCUGAAAUCACAGAAGAGUGUGUAAUUGAACACAAGCUACUCCACAAUGCUAUACUGGUGGUCUUCACUCAAGCUUGAGCUGGACCAACCAUCAGGUCUCAACAGCCUAGUUGAAGAAAAGUAGAAAAAGCUGAUGAUGCCUUCAUAGAUCUGUAUCUCCUGUGUGUAUUUAAAGGCCUGAGUUUGGAUCAAGAAUUAAUGAAUGCAGUGGACAAAGUCAUCCAGUUCACUCCACCAUGUGAGAUGGCAGCUCUGUGAUAUUACUUAGAGGAUUUACACUGACUCAAACCACACUGCUGUUAGAAAGUAAUCUCAUUCUGAAGCAAUCCCAAGUAAACCGCUGAUGAUGCUCAGAUGACUGCGCUUUUAAAGCACUUCUGCCUAUCCACACUUGCAUCUACUGAGCAGAGCCACUGCUGGUGUCAGGUACAUCCAUGAAUUAAGUGACCAGACAGUGAAAAUGACAGCUGUAGUGACGUGAAUUGCUAAGAGAAAAAUGGUAGCGCAUACUGUCUGCAGCCUUAUUAGGAGAUAAUGAAAUCACAUUCCCAUUGAGUCCAUUGAGAUGUCACUUUCAAUUUCCACUGCUUCCUACGCAAAACCGCAUGGCUGUCUGAUAAGACUGAGAUUAUACUUGCCACCAAGGCCUCUGCCAGCAUGGCUCACUCACGUACUUUGGUUUUCCUUUACUUGGGUUUUAAAUCCCAGCUGCUGCUUCUGGAUCUGAGGGGUUUUUUUUUUAAUCUUCAACCAGGAAUUCUUACAAAAUUUGAGAUUCAAUCAGUGAGUUGUUCUGCUAAGUUGAUUAAUCUCCCCGUGCUGAGGGGGAAUAUGCCUCUGCUCUGUAGAGAAGACUGCGCAGUAUUUGAUUAACUUGCACCUGCUUUAUAUUGGUGAUAAGGAGAAGAAAAAGACAAAGGAGAUAAAAUUGUUUAAUUCCAGGCCUAAAGUAUCCCAGCCUCAAGUGAAGCUAAUUUCACCUGUGCAGCUCUUUCCUGAAUAUGGUUUCAUGUUUUAGAAACCAUUCUGUACAACUUGAAGUGGCAGUUCAAAGGGAUGUAUAUGCAUUUCUCUCUUCCUGAGUGGAGUUUAGGGAGCUUCAUCUAUACUCUUCCUCCUCUCUUGGGUACAUUUCCUCAGUGCAUUCUGUGCUAAACUGAGGAUAGGUUUCCACCCUCUAUUGCCUUACUGAGUAAAGCUGGUUACAGAGAAUAUAGCACCUGAUGCUGUAGGAAGACAGCUGUUCGGAUGUGCAUUCAGAUGCCUUCUGAUGCCCCCUUGAACUUCCUUAUUCCCUACUCCUUAUGACUGUGUAAAGAACAUGACUAUGUUUAUAGUAUCACUAGACUUGUUUGCUUGUAUCUCACCUUUCUCUGACUGCAGGAGCAAAAAGGAAUUUAUAGACUCUGUAAGUAAUCCUUAUAGUUGUCAGUACCUCUUACACAUGCUUUUAGGUAGUCUUAAGCUGUGGAGAAAUUACAGGUCCAACCAUAAAGAUCUGGUUUAAGUAGUUACACCCUAACCAUCUGAGGUGAGAGAAGGGAUGUGUGGGCAGGUAUUUAGAGGUAAAAAGGCAAUCUGCAGUGCUCUCAGCUCUUGCUGCUCACUUAAAAUUUUCUUAAACAUAGUUGCAUUUUGUAAAAUAUUUUUUCAUCAUUAAGCUUACUGACUUCUUUCACAAACCACUGGCAGAAAGCAGGGGAGAUCCACUCUCUGGCAUGGAAACCACAAUCCAUAAAGAUGGCCUUCUUAUUUGCACCACUUUUUCCCACCUAAGAAAAAAAACAACAAAACCCCCAGGUCUUGAACAAAAUAAUUUGUAUGCAGAACAAGUUAGUCAGCUUGCUGACCUAAAAGGUCACCCUGUAUACAAAUAUAGCAUUCCUUGAUUAAAUGGAGAUCUAUGGAGUGCUCUCAGGCAUAGCUGACCAUGAUAUUCAAGCUAAAACAACAGACUCUUAAUAAUUUAAUUUUUAUUAAUGUAGAUAAGCUUCCCCCCCAAUUAUUUGAUUAUUCUGCACUGUUGAUUUAUUUCCUGUAGUGUCUGUAAGAGUUGAUCUUGUUUGCUUGACUAAUAUAUUAUUGUAAACACUUAAGCAAUUUUGGGCAAGUAAUCUUUAUCCUUUCACCUUUAUUUAAGUCAUCGUAUCUUAUUUAUGAAUAAGAGUUAUGCCAAAAAAAUAUAUGAUGAAGAUACAAACAGAUUUGUUGCCUAUUUCUAGAGAGACUGACAUUUAUAGAUCCUUUUAAAGUAAACGGUUUACAAACAACAGAUGGAGAGAACAUAAAGGUAGAUGAUCAUUCAAAUAGCUCUCAGGAGUGUGGUUAAAUUUAUAUGUCUGAACUUCUAAUAAUUCAUUAUGCCCCUUUUAAAAAAAAAUUUAAAAGGUGAAAAAAUCAUAGUAGUGGUGAACAAAAUGUAUUAGAUUAUCUGCAAAAUGUAUAUUACUAUCUUAGCAUCACUGGUGUUUUAAUAGAGAUCGUAAUCUUGUGGAGGUUAAUAGAGGAAGAAUCUAGCACAAAGAAAUCAAAGCACUUACUUUGAGAAGGUACAUUGGCCGUCUUUCAUAUGUUUCCCCAAUUACACUGCGAGAGACAAGGUCUGGGUUCUGAGCAGCAAC